rnacentral:rRNA from 1 species
CCUACGGGUGGCAGCAGUCGAGAAUCAUUCACAAUGGGGGAAACCCUGAUGGUGCGACGCCGCGUGGGGGAAUGAAGGUCUUCGGAUUGUAAACCCCUGUCAUGUGGGAGCAAAUUAAAAAGAUAGUACCACAAGAGGAAGAGACGGCUAACUCUGUGCCAGCAGCCGCGGUAAUACAGAGGUCUCAAGCGUUGUUCGGAAUCACUGGGCGUAAGGCGUGCGUAGGCUGUUUCGUAAGUCGUGUGUGAAAGGCGCGGGCUCAACCCGCGGCCGGCACAUGAUACUGCGAGACUAGAGUAAUGGAGGGGGAACCGGAAUUCUCGGUGUAGCAGUGAAAUGCGUAGAUAUCGAGAGGAACACUCGUGGCGAAGGCGAGUUCCUGGACAUUAACUGACGCUGAGGCACGAAGGCCAGGGGAGCGAAAGGGAUUAGAUACCCCAGUAGUC